AUGAACACCAACAGUCAAAUUGGCGGAGUCCUGACUGUACCAUGGUGACCAGAGCAGCAGACUCCAGGGUCCCGGAUGGUCCAAAGUUUUAACAUUGUAUUCAAAGAGGAGCCAGAAGACGAUCAUGAACCUUGGGUCAGAGAAAUACUGGAAUGAGUCCUGCCUCCAGCCACGGCAGUGAGGAGACUACCUCUACAUCAGGAGAACCUGAGCAACACCAGGAGCAGCACAACACAGCCACGACGUCUCACCGCUGCUUUGGCUGUGGACAGGAGUUCCUGCUGCCUAUGACCUCGUGUUACACCAGAGGACUCACGUAGAGAGAGGCUUCAACAAGUCUGUCUGUGGAGAGCUGUUCUACCGGAAAGAGUUAUCAAAAACACAUCAUCAGAAAGUUGACACAGGAAUACCUGUACAACACCAGAAGAAUCCCAAAGCUAAGAAGUCUCACGACUGUGUAGUUUGUGGAAAACAACUAUCGGAAGCCAUGAAACUGAAGAGGCACAUGAGAACACACACAGGAGAGAAACCUCACGGUUGCUCUGUGUGCGGCAGGGGAUUCACACAGAAAGGAAAUUGAAAACACACAUGAAAACACACAGAGGAUUGAAUGCAUUGUGGUCCGCUGGAGAGGACAGUCCCUCUACGUCAGGAGAACCCGAGCAACACCAGAAGAAGCAACCAAAGCUAAG